UCAGGAAUGUAUUUGAACAUCACCAUAGGAAAGGUUUUUGAGUUUGUGCAAAGGUUUUAACGGUACACAGACAUGGCUAGGGUGAUCCCAUAGCUAUUAGCUACUAGACAAAAGUUUCUCACUUGAAGUAAGGAAACUGUGUUAGCUUGAAAUGUUUUACAGGGUGGGAAUCCAAAUCCAGGCUGAUAGUAUCUGUGGAUCUCCUGUACCCAACAGACUGUCACUGGAGAGCACCAGGCCAUUGUAAAAUGUUGAGUCUAAUCUGGAGCUCCAGUAAGGUCAGUGGAACCAGAUCUUAUUUUAACCUACCAUGUGUUUAUUCCAGCACAUGAUAAGUGAGAUCAAGCCAAAUUCAGCUGUGGUGUAAUU
rnacentral:lncRNA from 1 species